CCUGUUCCAGUUGGUCCUGUUACGGUGGGUCCUGUUUCAGUUGGUCCAGUUCCAGUUGGCCCAGUUACUGUAGGUCCUGUUCCAGUUGGUCCUGUUCCAGUUGGACCUGUUACUGUAGGUCCUGUUCCAGUUGGACCUGUUACUAUAGGUCCUGUUUCAGUUGGUCCUGUUACUGUAGGUCCAGUUCCAGUUUGGGCCCAGUUACUGUAAGGUCCUGUUCCAGUCGGUCCUGUUACUGGUAGGUGUCCUGUUCCAGUUGGUUCCAGUUACUGUAGGCUCCUGUUUCAGUUGGUCCUGUUUCCAGUUGGAACCUGUUAC